AUUGAACGCUGGCGGCAUGCUUUACACAUGCAAGUCGAACGGUAACAGGUUAAGCUGACGAGUGGCGAACGGGUGAGUAAUGCAUCGGAACGUGCCCGAUCGUGGGGGAUAACGCAGCGAAAGCUGCGCUAAUACCGCAUACGAUCUGAGGAUGAAAGCGGGGGACCGUAAGGCCUCGCGCGAUCGGAGCGGCCGAUGUCAGAUUAGGUAGUUGGUGGGGUAAAGGCCCACCAAGCCGACGAUCUGUAGCUGGUCUGAGAGGACGACCAGCCACACUGGGACUGAGACACGGCCCAGACUCCUACGGGAGGCAGCAGUGGGGAAGUUUGGACAAUGGGCGAAAGCCUGAUCCAGCAAUGCCGCGUGCAGGAAGAAGGCCUUCGGGUUGUAAACUGCUUUUGUACGGAGCGAAAAGGUCCUUUCUAAUACAAGGGGCUCAUGACGGUACCGUAAGAAUAAGCACCGGCUAACUACGUGCCAGCCGCCGCCGUAAGAC
rnacentral:rRNA from 1 species